rnacentral:rRNA from 1 species
UUAUCGAGUUGCACAACUCCCGCACCUUGCCAACGCCAGCUCGCUGCUGCUUCGGCGGACCGA